rnacentral:tRNA from 3 species
CAGAAGAUAGUUUAAAAGAACCGCAACUUUGGGAGUUACAGGUAUAAGUGAAACCCCUAUUCUUCUGA